rnacentral:rRNA from 1 species
UUACCUACGGGGGGCAGCAGUGGGGGAUAUUGCACAAUGGGGGAAACCCUGAUGCAGCGACGCCGCGUGGGCGAAGAAGUAUUUCGGUAUGUAAAGCCCUAUCAGCAGGGAAGAAGAAAUGACGGUACCUGAGUAAGAAGCACCGGCUAAAUACGUGCCAGCAGCCGCGGUAAUACGUAGGGAGCGAGCGUUAUCCGGAAUUAUUGGGUGUAAAGGGUGCGUAGACGGGAAAACAAGUUAGUUGUGAAAUCCCUCGGCUUAACUGAGGAACUGCAACUAAAACUAUUUUUCUUGAGUGCAGGAGA